CUGCAAGUCGAACGAAGAGGCUCCUUCGGGGGUACUUCAGUGGCGAGCGGGUGAGUAACACGUAGGUGACCUGCCCCGAGGCAGGGGAUAACGGCUCGAAAGGGCCGCUAAUACCCAAAAGGGUCGCGAGUCGCAUCGCGAUCAGAGCUACGGCGUUUCGGGAGGGGCCUGCGGCCCAUCAGCUAGUUGGUAGGGUAAUGGCCUACCAAGGCAACGACGGGUAGGGGGCCUGAGAGGGUGAUCCCCCACAUUGGCACUGACACACGGGCCAAACUCCUACGGGAGGCAGCAGUGAGGAAUAUUGAGCAAUGGGCGAAAGCCAGACUCAGCAACGCCGCGUGGACGAUGAAGGCCUUCGGGUCGUAAAGUUCUUUUCAGGGGGACGAGAGAGGACG
rnacentral:rRNA from 1 species